rnacentral:misc_RNA from 1 species
CAACCCUACGUUUUUUUGUUUCUUUUCUUCCAUCGGUUUGCGAUAAAAAAUUUGCAGUAAAAUCACUUUUUCGUUUGCAUGUGGUUUUAGCAAUAUUAACGUUUGGCUAAAUACUAGUAUUAAGUAGAUAUUUUUAUAAAAUGUCAAAUUCUUGGCUAAAGCGUAAAAAUUGCAUUGUCCUAUAAUAAGGCUAAGCCUUUACGAACAAACAUAAGUCGAAAAUCAGGUUUACACUGUAUAUGAGUGCGCGUGUAUGCUGCUGAACAUCAUAAUCCGCCGCUGAAGUGAAGACGUCUCUUUUAAUCAAAUUUCGCUUUUCUGUGAAUGAGAAUGAAGAUAAUUAAAACUAAAUACGAAACGUUAAGGAGCAGUGUACGUUAAAACCAGCAAACAAAAAAAAGAAGAAAAAUUGGCGAACAAAAAAAUUUCUAAAUAAAGAUAUUAUAUUUUCUGUGAUUUUCCUGCGUUUCACGACAACAGGAAGAAAAAUGUAUCCUUCUCCGUUGCAUUAUUCUACUAUGCGGCCGCAAGCACCUAGUGCUGCUCAGCAACAACACGAUCACAAUGCAGAAGAACUAAGCAAAGCAGAAUGGUAUUGGGGAGAAAUCUCUCGGGAAGAAGUAAAAAAUAUCUUAUCUGGUCAACCGGAUGGUAGCUUUCUUGUGCGAGAUGCCUUAAACAAAAACGGCGAAUAUACCCUAACAUUAAUAAAAGAUGGAACGGAGAAGCUAAUAAAAAUUUGUCAUUUGAAUGGAAAGUAUGGUUUCACAGAUUGUAAAUUUAAUUCAGUAGUAGAAUUGAUUAACUACUAUCGAAUAAAUUCAUUAAAGCUUUAUAACAAAAUGCUUGACAUAACGUUAAGCAAUCCAAUAGUGAAACCAGCGGAAGAAGACGAUCACAGCGAUUUACGUUUUCUUGCCGAUAAGUUUCUCGGUCUGCAUCAUACGUUGAACAAGCAGCAGUACCUAUUAGAUCAAAAAAUGAAAGUAUUUAAAAACGUUGAAGCAGAGUUAAAUGAGAAGAAACAGGAUCAAGAAGUUUUCUUGAAAGCGGAAAAAAUGUUCAAAAACCAAAUCAAGCUAUUGGAAUCGUAUAUUUGUACUGCAGAGCAACCGCAAGUAGGCACAGCUGGUGUAAUAAAUACAAAUGGUGGCGCCAGUGGGGGAAAUGGAAAUUUCGUAGUCCAUCAACAGGAUAAGGAAAAAAUUCUAGCCAAUGCUGGGUUACUUAAAAAGAAACUACAAUCAAUUUGUUCUGAAAUGGGAAAAUUAAACCGCUAUGUCGAAGAUAAAAAAGAAGAAUAUAAACGGCUGGAACGACAAAUCAAUGCAGCGAAACCAGAGUUACAGGAUUUAAGCGCUGAAAAGGAAUUGAUUACAGAACGUCUUAUGGGCGCUGGUAUAAAAGAAGAAGAUAUCACUCAACUCGCCGAAAUGGGUUUCGAAGCUUGGCAAAAAAGAUAUGAGAGUCGGACAAAUCAACCGCAUAAUAACGACUCAUUGUGGUUCCUUCGUGAUUGUUUACGCCAAGAGGCCGAAGAAUUAUUGAAGGGUGCACCCACUGGUACAUUUCUCAUUCGGGCUCGUUCUGCUGGUCAUUACGCCCUUUCCAUUGCCUGCAAGAAUGUUGUUAACCAUUGUAUUAUAUAUGAAACGGAAAGUGGUUUCGGCUUUGCUGCUCCUUAUAAUAUCUACGUUUCCUUGAAUAAAUUGGUAGAACAUUACGCUACUAAUUCACUUGAAGAACAUAACGAUACCCUGACUACAACGUUGCGAAUACCAGUGAAGCAUUGGCAUGCCAAUAAGGAUUUGAUUUUGAAACAACUGGAAGAUGAAGAGCUAGAAUUGGAACAGUUACGCUUAGAAGAUCAGCAACAUGAACUAUUGCCAUCUACUUAUGCCAUUUCAAUACCAGGUAGUGAUGCAUUGGAUGUACAAACACCGCCUUCUUCCCUGCCAUCAUCUUUUCCAAGCGGAAGUUUCGGGGGCGGCGCUGCAGGCAGUAAUCAAAAUCAUGCUCAACCACAGUAGUAAACAUUAGUUAUCGAAUUUUAACAGUGUUAAAAGUUAUCAACACAAGGUCACUUUUCAAAGAGCUUCCACUGGUAGCCAUAGGGCCGCAAACAAUUUAAAUACAAAAACCAGUUAAAUUUAAGUGCUGUAAAUAGAACUGUUACUUUUGGGCACAGCAUUUGUGAUGGGAUGAUGUUGCAAUUUUAUUGCAUGUCUUAGAUUGAACAAACAUGACAAUGGCUGUGAUAAUCCCAGCAUGAUACAAGUUUGAUAGCAAAUUGAAUUUGAACAAUACCACCUUAAUUCUAUAGAAAUUAAGAGCAGCCGUUGUCAUGGUGGGUGUGUCUUACAGUGAUCAUCGAAUUAUAGAAAUUAUUAUGCAGCAGUAAUUGUGAACAAACUUUAUUAAAGGGAUGAU